GGGCUACACACGUGCUACAAUGGCAGUAUACAAAGAGAAGCGACCCCGCGAGAGCAAGCGGAACUCAUAAAGUCUGUCGUAGUCCGGAUUGGAGUCUGCAACUCGACUCCAUGAAGUCGGAAUCGCUAGUAAUCGUAGAUCAGAAUGCUACGGUGAAUACGUUCCCGGGCCUUGUACACACCGCCCGUCACACCAUGGGAGUGGGUUGCAAAAGAAGUAGGUAGCUUAACCUUCGGGAGGGCGCUUACCACUUUGUGAUUCAUGACUGGGGUGAAGUCGUAACAAGGUAACCGUAGGGGAACCUGCGGUUGGAUCACCUCCUA
rnacentral:rRNA from 1 species